rnacentral:rRNA from 1 species
GACGAACGCUGGCGGCACGCUUAACACAUGCAAGUCGAACGAGAGAAGAGAAGCUUGCUUUUCUGAUCUAGUGGCGGACGGGUGAGUAACACGUGAGCAAUCUGCCUUUCAGAGGGGGAUACCGAUUGGAAACGAUCGUUAAUACCGCAUAACAUAAUUGAACCGCAUGAUUUGAUUAUCAAAGAUUUAUCGCUGAAAGAUGAGCUCGCGUCUGAUUAGCUAGUUGGUAAGGUAACGGCUUACCAAGGCGACGAUCAGUAGCCGGACUGAGAGGUUGAUCGGCCACAUUGGGACUGAGACACGGCCCAGACUCCUACGGGAGGCAGCAGUGGGGAAUAUUGCACAAUGGAGGAAACUCUGAUGCAGCGAUGCCGCGUGAGGGAAGAAGGUUUUAGGAUUGUAAACCUCUGUCUUCAGGGACGAAAAAAGACGGUACCUGAGGAGGAAGCUCCGGCUAACUACGUGCCAGCAGCCGCGGUAAUACGUAGGGAGCGAGCGUUGUCCGGAAUUACUGGGUGUAAAGGGAGCGUAGGCGGGAUCGCAAGUCAGAUGUGAAAACUAUGGGCUUAACCCAUAAACUGCAUUUGAAACUGUGGUUCUUGAGUGAAGUAGAGGUAAGCGGAAUUCCUAGUGUAGCGGUGAAAUGCGUAGAUAUUAGGAGGAACAUCAGUGGCGAAGGCGGCUUACUGGGCUUUAACUGACGCUGAGGCUCGAAAGCGUGGGGAGCAAACAGGAUUAGAUACCCUGGUAGUCCACGCCGUAAACGAUGAUUACUAGGUGUGGGGGGACUGACCCCUUCCGUGCCGCAGCAAACGCAAUAAGUAAUCCACCUGGGGAGUACGACCGCAAGGUUGAAACUCAAAGGAAUUGACGGGGGCCCGCACAAGCAGUGGAGUAUGUGGAUUAAUUCGAAGCAACGCGAAGAACCUUACCAGGUCUUGACAUCGUAUGCAUAGCUCAGAGAUGAGUGAAAUCUCUUCGGAGACAUAUAGACAGGUGGUGCAUGGUUGUCGUCAGCUCGUGUCGUGAGAUGUUGGGUUAAGUCCCGCAACGAGCGCAACCCUUACUGUUAGUUGCUACGCAAGAGCACUCUAGCAGGACUGCCGUUGACAAAACGGAGGAAGGUGGGGAUGACGUCAAAUCAUCAUGCCCCUUAUGACCUGGGCCUCACACGUACUACAAUGGCUGUCAACAGAGGGAAGCAAAGCCGCGAGGUGGAGCGAACCCCUAAAAGCAGUCUUAGUUCGGAUUGUAGGCUGCAACCCGCCUACAUGAAGUCGGAAUUGCUAGUAAUCGCAGAUCAGCAUGCUGCGGUGAAUACGUUCCCGGGCCUUGUACACACCGCCCGUCACGCCAUGGGAGUCGGUAACACCCGAAGCCUGUAGUCUAACCGCAAGGAGGACGCAGUCGAAGGUGGGAUUGAUGACUGGGGUG